rnacentral:rRNA from 1 species
GUGCAGCAGGCGCGAAUCGUUCACAAUGGGCGCAAGCCUGAUGGCGCGACGCCGCGUGUGGGAUGGAGGCCUUCGGGUUGUAAACCACUGUCACAGGGGAAGAAAGGCACGGAUGCUAACAUCGUCCGUGUUUGACGUUACCCCUGAGAGGAACGCCACGGCUAACUCCGUGCCAGCAGCCGCGGUAAUACGGAGGUGGCAAGCGUUGUUCGGAAUUACUGGGCGUAAAGGGUGCGCAGGCGGUCUGUUGUGUUCGAUGUGAAAUCCCCCGGCUCACCCGGGGAACUGCAUCGAAAACUGACAGACUUGAGUGCA